AGGGUCGGCCAGACGGUCGCGGCAUUGCCGAGGAACGUCCGGGCUCCGCAGAGCACGGUGGUGGGUAACGCCCACCCAGGGAAACCUGAGAGACAGUGCAACAGAAAGCAAACCGCCCGCAAGGGUAAGGGUGAAACGGUGGUGUAAGAGACCACCAGCAGGCUGGGUGACCAGCCUGGCUAGGUAAACCUCACCGGGAGCAAGACCAUGCAGAAGGCGCUUGAGAGCUGCUCGCUCGAGUCUUCGGGUAGGUCGCUAGAGCCAGUGAGUAAUUGCUGGCCGAGAUAGAUGGCCGUCACGCACUUCGGUGUGACAGAACCCGGCGUAUCGGCCGACCCCUCCA
rnacentral:RNase_P_RNA from 1 species